GACGAACGCUGGCGGCGUGCUUAACACAUGCAAGUCGAGCGAUCGGCCUUGGAGGGGUAACCCUCCUUGGUACGGAGCGGCGAACGGGUGAGUAACACGUGGGCAACCUGCCCCAGGCUCUGGAAUAACCCCGGGAAACCGGGGCUAAUGCCGGAUACUCUCGUUGGAUCGCAUGGUCCGGCGAGGAAAGUUCCGACGGCCUGGGAGGGGCCCGCGGCCUAUCAGCUUGUUGGCGGGGUAACGGCCCACCAAGGCGACGACGGGUAGCUGGCGUGAGAGCGUGGCCAGCCACACUGGGACUGAGACACGGCCCAGACUCCUACGGGAGGCAGCAGUGGGGAAUCUUGCGCAAUGGGCGAAAGCCUGACGCAGCGACGCCGCGUGGGGGAUGAAGGCCUUCGGGUUGUAAACCCCUUUCGGCAGGGAAGAAGCGAAAGUGACGGUACCUGCAGAAGAAGCCCCAACUAACUACAUGCCAGCCGCCGCAGUAAUAC
rnacentral:rRNA from 1 species